rnacentral:rRNA from 1 species
CAGUCGACGGCAGCGCGGGAGCAAUCCUGGCGGCGAGUGGCGAACGGGUGAGUAAUACAUCGGAACGUGCCCAAUCGUGGGGGAUAACGCAGCGAAAGCUGUGCUAAUACCGCAUACGAUCUACGGAUGAAAGCAGGGGAUCGCAAGACCUUGCGCGAAUGGAGCGGCCGAUGGCAGAUUAGGUAGUUGGUGGGGUAAAGGCUCACCAAGCCUUCGAUCUGUAGCUGGUCUGAGAGGACGACCAGCCACACUGGGACUGAGACACGGCCCAGACUCCUACGGGAGGCAGCAGUGGGGAAUUUUGGACAAUGGGCGCAAGCCUGAUCCAGCCAUGCCGCGUGCAGGAUGAAGGCCUUCGGGUUGUAAACUGCUUUUGUACGGAACGAAACGGCUCUUUCUAAUAAAGAGGGCUAAUGACGGUACCGUAAGAAUAAGCACCGGCUAACUACGUGCCAGCAGCCGCGGUAAUACGUAGGGUGCAAGCGUUAAUCGGAAUUACUGGGCGUAAAGCGUGCGCAGGCGGUGAUGUAAGACAGUUGUGAAAUCCCCGGGCUCAACCUGGGAACUGCAUCUGUGACUGCAUCGCUGGAGUACGGCAGAGGGGGAUGGAAUUCCGCGUGUAGCAGUGAAAUGCGUAGAUAUGCGGAGGAACACCGAUGGCGAAGGCAAUCCCCUGGGCCUGUACUGACGCUCAUGCACGAAA